ensembl:lncRNA
UCUCUUUUUCUUCUCUUUUUAUAGUUUCUCUCCAUCCCUUUGUAGUGAACUCAUGCUGCAUUUUCUGUGAAAUCAGUCAGUCAGAUUGGAUCUUGUUGUUCUCUAUAGGCUCCUGUGGGCGUCAGACUAAUUAUGAACCUUCCUCCAGUUGCAUUCUGGGUAACCGUCAGCUUGUGUCAUUGCAGGUUGAGAUGUCAGUCACCUUUAACUGUGAACGGCCCUCAGUGACGGUGACACCAGCACUUACUGGAUUGAGACACGUUCAUCUGUUACCAUGGAUGACCUCCCAGAAUCAAUAAACCCUGAACCGGACUACAGAAGAGCUGCAAGCCCACAGUGCAUGAGCUCCUUCAUUUAUCUCUCGCUCGCUCGCUCUGCUGUGUGUGUGUGUGUGUGUGUGUGUGUGUGUGUGUGUGUGGGUGUGUGUGUGUGUGUGUGUGUGUGGGUGUUUGUGUCAGUUCUGCUCCAGCUGCUUUAUUUUCACACAACAGCGCAUGUGUGUGUAAGUGAGUGGGAGUGUGUGUGUGUGUGUGUGUGUGUGUGUGUGUGUGAGUGUGUGUGUGAGUGUGUGUGUGAGAGUGUGUUUAGCUGUAAUCCUCUCAGCAGAUUCACCAGGUCACUGAUCUCAAAGCAGUCUGGAUUUAAAAUGCUUUUGUUACUGUUCAAAUCUGAGUCAAAUCCCCUCACAGCACACACACACACACACACACACACACACACACACACACACACACACACACACACACACACACACACACACAGUACAGUGACUGGCUGCAGUGUGUGAGAUCUCAGAAAGACACAUUUAAUGACACCGUUAGGAAGAAACUGAACUCACUGCACUGUUCUUUAUAUUCUGUAUCAAGCUGAAACUCUAGGGAUAUUUGAGGACGUCCUUAUUUAGAAAAUGCUUACGGAUUUAUUUUAGGAUUUGCAUUAUUCUGAACUCAUUAUGGUCAGUUUGUCUGUAGGUUUAUGAUAUGAGUGUGUGUCUAACUGUACUGCAUUAACACGUCGAACACUUGUGUUUACAUACAACCUGCUGUUUCCAGAUCUCGUCUUUCUUAAAUUAAUUUACCAGGAAUUAAAAUGUUACAUUUUUAUAGUCUUUUAUAAAUUUGUUAUAGUUUCUGUUUAUUGUUAUAUUUCAGCUGUAAAUGUUAGUGAUUGUCUUAAUUUUUACCACGGAUGCUGUCCAGAUUUUUUUGUAUUAUAUAUCAACUAUAAUAUUUGUUAAUAAAUUGAAUUAACUUUUAUUUUCA